GGAGGUACAUUUGGCUUUCUCUGGUUGGUCCCAGAUUGGACCUAGGGGGAAAAAUUAGAGCAGCUACCAGUUAUUAAUCAGUUAUUAAUCAACAGUUGGGGCCAAUUGUUGCAAGGGUUAUUGUUUGGCUUGAUGAACCAGUUCCUAGAGAUAGCAGUCUGAAUUCCUGCAUGUCUGACUUACAGCACGCUGGCUUUAAGAGAUGGGGUUGGAGUCCUGUACAGAUUCCUACAGUUUGGGGGUCAGAGUUCCAUUUUCAUAUAUGUUCUGUCCAUUGUUCGUUUAUAUUCAGGAUCUCAACAUUCAUCAUCAAGGCGACCUCAUGGCCCCAAUGUGGCUGCAGUAGAUACAGCCAUUGUGACCACAUUCCAAGCAGAAGAAAAGUAAGAGGAAGGGCAAAGAGUAGGCCUCCCAGGUGAGUCCUACGACUUUUUGUUGUGGGGUUCCUCCAAAUUCAUUCCUUUAGAUCUUUCCAAUCCUCCCUACCAUCAAGGAGACAAGGAAAUGUGAUUGUUUACUGGGUCCGAGGGUGCGCCCCAAAAAGGAGACCUUCUGUUAAAGGGAAAGAAGAGAGAAUCGAUAUGGAGCAGGCCAUCAGCAACCUCUUUCAUACUCCCAGCUUGAAAAAAAAAAUGGGAGAAUAAACCCAUCUAUAAAAACAUUUAUGAAAAGUACAUCGCAGGUGCAGUCUUGAAUUCCUUGUUCAGUGUGAAAUGUUUGUUUUACGACGGUUAUUUUAUGUUAAUUAAGAGCUGAUUGAUCAGAACCCUUCUCAGUCAAGGUUAUAGGCUCCCCAGGGCAUCAUCAAAUCCCCCCCCACCCCCGCCGCCUCCAGGGCCCUGAAGCAGAGACGGAGGAACCGUCCGAAUACACCGACAGGAACACAAAUUGAAAACUGCUCAACUGAAACGAAUUACUUCAAAGAAACCAUAAAUCCAGGGAAUUGGUCAUUUGGCAAAUUGGCUCCUCAGAGAACUAGCUUUUUGUGGCAAUCGCCUGCGAGAGCAGAGAGUUCAAGCAAAGGCGCACAUUAUGAUGGGGGAGCGGGUCGGGGCGGGGGGGACCCCUGGGCGGCUUCCCGCGGCCGGGAGCAUCCUCCCCGCGCUGGUGGAGGGAGGGCCCAAGGGCUGGAAGAUUAAAGCGCUGCAGUCGCCCCUUGGCAGUGCGUGCCUUAGGUCCUCUGGUAACGAGGACACGAAACUCGGUCUGCAAACUCUCUGAGUUCAGGAGAGGCCAGAUUCUGCAGAGAGGCCAGAAAACAAGCCCCCAGUACACGGGAGAUCGAGGGGGCUUCUAAGACAGGGCCCUUUGGCAGCCGGGGAAGCUGCACAGGGAAACCCUCCUCCAGGAGGGAAGGGGCCAGAUCAGGGGGCUUCACAGGCUUCUCGGCAACCCCUGGUGGGGCUGCCCCCCAGCUUCCUCCCAGGUUCUUGGAAACGCAGCUGCCAUCAUGCGCAUUUCCCUCCCCUGCAAAGGGUCUGGAUGCAGCAAAUACACACAUGCACACACUCACAGGCACACACCCCCAGGCACACAUGUGCACACACAGGCAUACACGUGCACAUGCCCCAGGCGCGCACGCACGCGCACACACACACACACACUCCACUCCACCUGCCUCCGGGGUUCCACUGUCUCCGCUGCGAGGGGUGGACCAGAAGAAGCUUUUUUCCGCUUGGCUCCAUGUGGCUGGGGCCUCACUUUCCUUGGCAGUGGCCCCAUCCGCACUGCCUGCCCCUCCCAAGUGAGGGGCCGCUUCCCACCUGCCUCGGGGACACGCAGGGUCCUUCUGCCACCAAGUCCCCCACAAAAAAAAAAAAAAUGUUUUCAAUUCCUCCUCGGAAAUUUGUUCUUCUGGCAUCCCCACAGUGGGGAAAGGACCCGACUGCAGUGGCCGGGUCACCGUGGAGGUACAGGUUCCAUCCCCGACCCAGCACAGGGGGUUAAAGGAUCCAGCGUUGCCGCAGCUGCGGUGCAGGCCACAGCUUCACCGAGGAUUCACCCCCCGGCCCGGGAACUUCCAUGUGCCCCCCGUGCGGCCAGGACAUACAUAAAUAGAGAGAUGAUGCCUUGUUUUCCCUCAACAGAGUGCUCAUGACUAAAACGCAAAAUGAGAAGAAGGAGGAAACCGCGAGCGGUGACUUGCAACCUACAAGGAAAAAACGGAGGUGUCUUCUCAUCCCGGGAGUCAGGGACGGGGGGAGUUUUGCCUGCUCCUGCUUCAAUGGGAGAGCUGGAAGCAAAGCAGUAUUACUAUUUAGAAGGGAGAAAUAGGAAAUUACUGGGUUUUCACCUUAAAAUGGUAGAGAAAAAAUCUUGCCGAGUUCAUGCCUAUUGACAGUUUCCUGGGACCUGGUCCUUGAUCCCAUCUGACCGCACCUGACCAGAGGGAGCUUCGGGAGGAAGCGAGCUGAUGGCCCACCUUUCUUGGCACAUCCCGGGGCGAUUUCAUGAGGAAACUGCCGACUCAGAAUGAGAAGGGACCUCGGGGAGGCGGUAAGGAGGGCGCCGGGUGGAAGGCAGCCAGGACGUGGCCUUCCCAACCCCAGGCCGGUCCUGGGCCAGUGACCUCCCUGGACCAGCAGGGAUGGGGGGCUUUGCCUGGGGAGCCAAAGAACCAGAUUCAAAACCCGCACCGGGAAUUCCCGUCGUGGCGCUGUGGUUAACGAACCCAACUAGGAACCAUGAGGUUGCGGGUUCGAUCCCUGCCCUUGCUCAGUGGGUUAAGGAUCCGGCGUUGCCGUGAGCUGUGGUGUAGGUUGCAGACGCGGCUCGGAUCCUGUGUUGCUGUGUCUCUGGCACAGGCUGGCAGCUACAGCUCCAACUAGACCCCUAGCCUGGGAACCUCCAUAUGCCAUGGGAGCGGCCCAAGAAAUGGCAAAACGACGAAAAAAAAAAAAAAAAAAAAA
rnacentral:lncRNA from 1 species